rnacentral:tRNA from 1 species
GGAGAGGUGACCGAGCGGCCGAAGGUGCACGACUGGAAAUCGUGUGUACCCGAAAGGGUACCGAGAGUUCAAAUCUCUCCCUCUCCG